GACGUAGGGCGCGAGCGUUGUCCGGAAUUAUUGGGCGUAAAGAGCUCGUAGGCGGCUUGUUGCGUCGACUGUGAAAACCCGCGGCUCAACCGUGUGGCUUGCAGUCGAUACGGGCAGGCUAGAGUUCGGUAGGGGAGACUGGAAUUCCUGGUGUAGCGGUGAAAUGCGCAGAUAUCAGGAGGAACACCGGUGGCGAAGGUGGGUCUCUGGGCCGAUACUGACGCUGAGGAGCGAAAGCGUGGGGAGCGAACAGG
rnacentral:rRNA from 1 species